UAUUAGGAUGCCCUUCUAGGCUAUUUUAAAUCAAGGGUUAAGAUAAAAGGAUCUUAGAUCUUAUUUGACAGUUUGAUGGUCCUAGUUGGGUGGUGGUAUUAUGAAUGAUAAUCAUGCCUUGUUUGGUUAGUAUUGGGAUUAAAAAAAAUGUAAAAAUUUCUUUUGUUCAAAAAUGGGGGUCUCAGGGUUUUUUUUGUAAGUCAGUAGGAUGGUUGUCUAAGGAUAAUAUUCAAAGGACGCCUUGUUCUCUUAGUAGAGGUGUGAGACCUUCGACCGCUAGGUAUGAGGAUUGGUUUCUUAGCGGUGCGAAGCUGCUAGCUAUUAUCUUUUCUCUUGCCUUUACUCUUUUAUCAACAGUUUGUGCUUUAAUUUUUUAUAUUCAUUUUUUCUACUCCCAAAUCUGAUUCCCCUAUUUUUCAAGUCCAAGUAUUGAUGCUCAUGCUUAGGUUUAUCGAUCUCUAACAAGCUUCCUUUAAGCUAUAAUUCAUGUUGCAGAAAUCAGUUGUUCGACAGCUCAUUCAAAUCCUCUGUUUCUGUAAUUUAAAUUUUAGUCC
rnacentral:lncRNA from 1 species